rnacentral:rRNA from 1 species
GACGAACGCUGGCGGCGUGCUUAACACAUGCAAGUCGAACGGAAAGGCCCUGCUUUUGUGGGGUGCUCGAGUGGCGAACGGGUGAGUAACACAUGAGUAACCUGCCCUUGACUUUGGGAUAACUUCAGGAAACUGGGGCUAAUACCGGAUAGGAGCUCCUGCUGCAUGGUGGGGGUUGGAAAGUUUCGGCGGUUGGGGAUGGACUCGCGGCUUAUCAGCUUGUUGGUGGGGUAGUGGCUUACCAAGGCUUUGACGGGUAGCCGGCCUGAGAGGGUGACCGGCCACAUUGGGACUGAGAUACGGCCCAGACUCCUACGGGAUGCAGCAGUGGGGAAUAUUGCACAAUGGGCGGAAGCCUGAUGCAGCAACGCCGCGUGCGGGAUGACGGCCUGCGGGUUGUAAACCGCUUUCGCCUGUGACGAAGCGUGAGUGACGGUAAUGGGUAAAGAAGCACCGGCUAACUACGUG